UACGUAGGGACCAAGCGUUGUUCGGAUUUACUGGGCGUAAAGGGCGCGUAGGCGGCGUGGUAAGUCACUUGUGAAAUCUCUGAGCUUAACUCAGAACGGCCAAGUGAUACUGCUGUGCUAGAGUGCAGAAGGGGCAAUCGGAAUUCUUGGUGUAGCGGUGAAAUGCGUAGAUAUCAAGAGGAACACCUGAGGUGAAGACGGGUUGCUGGGCUGACACUGACGCUGAGACGCGAAAGCGUGGGGAGCAAACAGG
rnacentral:rRNA from 1 species